AGGGACAAACAUAUCUUUUGCAAAUAUCUGCCGAUAGUGAAUCAUGGGUGGUCACAUCUGCACCUUACAGUUAAUGCACACAGCUUCCCCACAAGAGUCUUAGGAACUGUAGUUUGUUUAAGGGUACUGGGAACUAUGAAAUUGGGUGAACUAUGGUUCCCAGGCUUUUUUGCAGGGAACCCUUGACUGUUAAAGUGGUAGAAGUGUGCUGUAAGUGUGUGGUGUGUGACUUUUGUAUCCCUCUGCACAGUGUGUUUUCAAGAUUACAAACCCAGCUUUGCCCAGUGUCAUGUGUGAACUGGGUCUUACGUUUGCUGCGCUGCACAUUGAAGAACAAUUGAGAAGCAAAGUAAGAAAAAGUCGAGUGGCUGUCUUGUCUCUUUCCUUGUUUUGUAUGGAGUUGCAUAACUCCAGGUUUAUUUCUGUUGUUCAUUUUCUCCCUUGUGUUGCAUACUGCUCACUUUAUGGUUCUUUCCACUAAAUUCAUGAUUCUUAACCCUGCCCUGAGGGGAAGUGUGAGGCAGUGAUAGAUCCAGUGCUGUUUCCCUUUUUGUUUAUUCCUAAACUUGCUUUGCCCCCAUCCGACUCCUUUCUUAUUUAUGCAGUGGAAACAAAGGAGGCUUCAUGGGUUGCUAAGAGACGCUCUCCCAGGGUAACUGGCCACCAAUUCUUGUAUUAAUGAUAACUUCUGGGCCCACUUCAGCACCUCCUUUUAGGACAAUGGGUAGCCCUUCAGAGCUCUGCUUGCCUCUUUGAAAUCUUCUUGUCACCCUUGGCUUUUCUGGCAGGGUGAGAAGCCACAUGACAGCUGUCAGGUGUGGGGUACCUGUAGGGCUCUUUUGGAAUUUCAUACCUGGGUCGGAUAAGAGUGUCAGACUGAGGAAAUCCAGGUUCAAAUCCCCCCAGUUCACAGAAUCAAAGACUUGUAGAAUUGGAAGGGACCUUGAGGGUCAUCUAGUCCAACCCCCUGCCAUGCAGGAAUCUCAGCUAUAGCAUGCAUGACAGAUGGCCAUCCAACCUCAACUUUGGGGUUUCACAUUGUGCUGUAGAGCAACUCACACUCCCUUUUUUCUCAGCCUGACCUGCCUCACAGGGCUGUUGUGAUGAUAAAGCCCCACGUUAUGCCCAGAAAAGGGAGGGAUACCAUUGUGAAUAAGUGAAUCAUUGGGUCAUGUGUCUUCCUCAUGUGCAGCCCAUCGUUUUCUCUCAUCCAAGGCUGCUGUUAAUAAUAAUAAUUAUUUUAUUAUUUAUACCCUGCCCAUCUGGUUAGUUUUCCCCAGCUUCUCUGGGCAGCUUACAGCUUAUAUAAAACAUAAUAAAACAUCAAACAUUAAGUUGUGUUUGAGUGGUGUGUAAACCCUGUCCCGUAAGCAGUGUUGGGGAAAACAAUUAAUUCCUGGAUGCCAAGAUCCAAGUUUGGGGCAAGUGCUCUUUGGUGAAAGAACUCCAGCAGAGAUUCAAAAUCACAAAACACGCAGCAAAUAAAGUGUGCGCAUAUAGGCCGUCUAACCUUAAAUGUGCUCUUUAAAGUUCCUACCAAAGUUUCCCACUUCCCCCAGCAUAGAAAGAUACCACACAUCUGGUAAUUUAAGAAUGUUUUACUUACAAACUCUCCAAAGGUCAGAGUCAUGUGCUUUUCCAUAGAGAAUCAUAGAAUUGUAGAGUUGGAAGGGACCAUGAGGGUCAUCUAGUCCAACCCCCUGCAAUGCAUGAAUCUUUUGCCCAAUGUGGGGCUCAAACCCACAACCCUGAGAUUAAGAGUCUCCUGUUCUACCAACUGAGCUAUUUCACAGAUAGUUGCACAGGCUGUAAAGUGUAGCUUGGUUACAAAAUGGUUCAAGUUCCUAAACUAUUGGUAUAGGAGAACAUUCAUUUCACACUCUGUUCUUGUCUGGAAAAAAGAGGCUGGUUAAAGCCAUGCAGCUGAGCUGGAGCAACCAUCCCAGACCUCCUCACCCACUGAAUGCUCAGGUAGACUGAAUGAAGCCAAGACUUGAUUGCCUAUUUCCUCCCAAGGUGAGGGGAAGUGACAUAGCUAAGUCGGGCAGGACAGCUUCCUCUAUGGUUUUAACCCCUUCAUGCAUUAAUUCGACUUAAGCAUGUUGGUUAUAUGAGGCCAGUUAUCCCACAAGCAGUACAGUAACACUCUUUAAUAAAUAAUGAAUAGUAUUGUCUACUGAGACUGCUAGUGGCUCUUCAAGGGAGAGGUCCCCACCUCCCACCCUCUCAUGCUUUAUUGCCUGGAGAUGCCAGUGAUUGAACCUGCAUGCAAAAAAAGUAUGCGCUCCACCCCCGAGUUAAGGCCUGAUUCCAGCUAAGGGCAGGUUUACAAGUACACAAGUGAUGAUUCACAACUGAAUGUGUGAACAGACAUCUGUUGAAAAGCCUUUGUAUUUGGAGAGAUACAAAAGUUCUGCUGGUGUUGUUUAAUAUGAGAUAAGAGCAGAAGGAGAGCUCACCUGGAUCCGGGCGAAGGCCAGUCUCGUUCAGCAUCUUGUUUCCUGCAGUGGUCAAGCGGAUGCUCUGCGAAGGCCACAAGGAGAGCCUGAAGGCGAGGGCACUCUUUUGGCAAUGCCCCCCAGAAACUGAUAGAUUUAGAGAAUACCAAUUCUGAUUCAUCUAGCAGCCUUCUGCCAGCAUUGCUUGGGGAUUCUAUGAAGCCAAAACAACAACAACACCCCCCACCCAGUGCAGUUUUGAAAUCAGCAGUUAAAAGCAGUGCAGUUUUGAAAGGGUGAGUCUACCAUCUUGAUUCAAAAUGGCAUCCAGUUGUAUCCAAACAUAGACGAAAACCUGCUCCUUGGUCUCAGGAACCAUUAUGCAAAAUUUGCUUAGGAUACCUUAAGGUGUCCAGUUCACAGAGAACAAACAGCUUUCCAAAAAUAUAUAGUCGAUAUCUUAGUAAAGCUCCAGGCACCUAUGAAUCUUAGUACAGUGGUACCUCGGGUUACAGAUGCUUCAGGUUACAGACUCCUCUAACCCAGAAAUAGUACCUCGGGUUAAGAACUUUGCUUCAGGAUGAGAACAGAAAUUGCAUGGCGGCGGCACAGUGGCAGCGGGAGGCCCCAUUAGCUAAAGUGGUAUCUCAGGUUAAGAACAGUUUCAGGUUAAGAACGGACCUCCGGAACAAAUUAAGUUCUUAACCCGAGGUACCACUGUACCUUUAAAUUCUGAGUGUGAAACAAAGAUUAAGAAUCAGUUGUGUGUCUGGAGGGCCGAAGAUCCAAUGGGGUGAAAGCAAACAACAGCCUCAAGGACUGAAAUUUUACCUUAUUAGCAUUCCUUGCAGUUGAAAAAGGUUGAAAGAGAGUCCUCUUAGCUUGUUAGUUUCUGCUAAUUCUAUUUAAGAUUUCAUAACUAACUUUUAAAAUUAAAUGGCCAGCUGAUGCCAGCCUUAAUGAAUGUAUAUAUGUGUAUGUAAGAGUUUUAUUUGGGAAUAAAAAUAUUUUUGCAAUUCUUUAGCACUUCCUCUAAUGGUCCGUGGUUGCUUUUGUGGACGUUUUGAAUGUCAUCCAGCAACAGCUGUUCAUUCAUGACAACUUAUUUUAAGUGGCAACUUGUUUUUCCCCUCCCCUCUACCUGUGUUUGACAAUUAAGAACUGUGUUGUGAAACAGAUCUCUUUAAUGAAGAGGAAAAACCUGGAACGUGUGCCAUGGCGCUGAGGCUGUAUUUACAGGAAACAUUGUGGGUUUAUUACCCUAAGGUUAGGCAUCACGUAGAUGGCAAUUUAAGUGCCCAGGGCGUGUUGAAACGAGGCUUUAAACAAAUUAAUCUGCAUUAUCAUGGAUGCCUUAAGAUUUGUUCAUAAGCAGUUUAUUAUCUUUCUGCUUUGGGCUGUGCUGCAAUAUGGGAGUUUUUCAAUUCGUAGAGGUGGGUGAUUUAAUAUUUGUACAUUUUGUAGAUACAUGUGAAUGAUUAAAUAUUUGUAUCUUGCAGUUCUGUUGAUUUUUUUCCUACCACUUGAAGAUGAUGAUAAUAAUAAUAAUAAUAAUAACCACAUUUUUUAAGAUUAACUCCCCUCUAACCACUAAGUAAUACAGUACUAUACUAGUGAUACACCACCUAAAAACUAAUCCUUUGCUGAAAUAUAGACUCCCAUGGGUUUUUAAAAUUUAUGUUCCUUGCCUAGCCAGAAUCUGUGAGUUAUUUUUUAAUUAAUUUAUGGAUUGUAUGAAUUCAUAAUUUAUGAAAAUGUGUGUACAAACAUGUAAAAACAGCUAAACUAGUGCAAAAAAUUGUUGAAGAGACGUUUAAAAACAAUACAAAAUGAACAACUAAGGCAGAGAUCUCUUCAUCCAGCUGAAAAACGUUUUCAAAACAAAAAUGCCUUCAGUUGUUCCUUGAAAGUAUGCCUAGCGGGUGUCUGUCAUAUCUCAAAAUGAACGAUUUACUGGGAAUAGAUGACGUAAGGUGGUCUCUCAAGUCAACUGCUGUGUUGUUUAAGGUAUGGGACUGAUUUAGGUAACAGCCAGUAUUUCUGUGUUCAGAAAUCAGGGUGAAGAAUUGCUGCUUUGUCCCAGAGUCUUAGAGGUCUGCAGCCAGAACUGUUUCACAGCCAACCUCUCUUACCAGGGAACUCCGGGAAUUAUAGCUCUGUAAGGGAAAGGGGGCCUCUUAAUAACUCCCACCACCCUUAGCAAACUACAGAUUCCAGGCUUCUUUGGGGAAAGCCAUGACUCUUUAAAGUGGUAUGAUGGGGCCUAAAGUGAUCUUCCUGCUACCUAAUGUCCUUUCUUGGCUUCUUCUUUCCUCAUCCCAAGUCAAUUCCUGCUGUGUAGCAUCCUGCCUGAUGAAAAGAUCUGGAGAACUUGAAAACUUGCCACUAUCUUUUGACACUUUGGUUGGUCCCAGUGAAGGUAUUGCCCCAUUGCGGAUUUUGAAUUUGAAGAAAAGUCAGCUGGGGUUGGGCACAAAUGUCAACUCCGGUUUCUCUCAGUUUCUUAUUUUUUUCCCAAACGUAAGUUUUAUUCUCCACAUUUCUACAUCGGUUUUUGAUUGUUUAAAGUGUUUCUCAUGAAAAUUCAUCAGCAUUUUAAUGGAAAUUUCUCAUAAUACACACAUUUUUAAUGCAACUUUGCUUAAUUGGCAAAGUUUUGUGUGCAAUUUGCUCUGCCAUAAUGCCUUUUUGUAUGCUUUUUUCGCUUAUAUGCAUACUUUCCCAUCAUAUCUGCAUUUUUGUUUACAUCAUUUGGUUAGAUAGGUACAGUCCAAAAUUUAGAGAAGUUCAAUUUUUGAAGCUGCGUUUUGGUUUGCAUAUUGUUUGAGGAAGUGAGAUUUAGGUAGGUUUGCAUUAAUAUGUGAGCUGAAUUUCUCCCCUUUCCCUACACUUGUCUUCAUAAGACCAUAAAACACAUUACAGUGGUACCUCAGGUUACAUACGCUUCAGGUUACAGACUCCGCUAACCCAGAAAUAGUGCUUCGGGUUAAGAAUUUUGCUUCAGGAUGAGAACAGAAAUCGUUCUCUGGCGGCAGCAGGAGGCCCCAUUAGCUAAAGUGGUGCUUCAGGUUAAGAACAGUUUCAGGUUCAGAACGGACCUCCGGAACGAAUUAAGUACUUAACCUGAGGUACCACUGUAAUUUGAAACUUCUGCUUACUUUCCUUUCCUGAAGCCUUCCGUUGAGUUAAAUGAAAAUACUAAGCAUUAUUACAGGCCUGAAAGCAGUCACUUCUGGCUGCCUGUGAUGAGUUUGAAUUGUAGUCAGGUGACCAGGCCACAAAACCUGGCGAAACUUUCUUUAGAGACCACUGUAUAAGCAAAAUAAAAAUAGCACCAUGUAUUUCAGCUGCUCAGUUAAGAUCAUCCCAGGCAAAAUCAGCUCAGGAAUGCUGUGCUUCAUGUUAUAAAACUUCAGUUUUCUAGUUGGCGUGAUAAUACUGUGAUAAAUUCUUACCAGCCAAGCACCCCAUUUUAAGCGGGACAGCCCCACUUUCUCAUCCCAGAGCGCCCUGAUUUCGUGUGGCAGGUGGGCAAGGGUGCGAGGGAAGUGGGAGGAUGGGCAGAGAGCGGAGAUCAGGCGGGUGGGAUGGUGCAAUGUGUGCCCCCCACUUUGCAUGCCCUCAACAUUUCGGGAGGGAAAAUUCCAGAGCCCCAUUACUCAGAACGGAGCAAUAGACUUCUUAUCAGAUCUUCAUGUAACAGUCUUUGCUUUUUAAAUAUUACUUAAAGUUGAGGGGUCCUAAUCCCUCCUUCCCCCUUACCUUCAAGGUGGAGCUGCACACACACCUGUGUACAGCAACAACUUUUUUUUGGUGUCACACGAAUUUCAGAUUCAUUUUGGGUUUUUCUUUCAUGGUGUGUUUUCAUGUGUUCACUGAAGCUGUGCAUCUAACAGCCGAAACGUUUGCUGUGAUUUUUUGGCCAUCUGGUAUGUGGGAGUUCUUAGUCGUUUUCCUAAUUUUAGGCCGUUGGCAACUGCCUGAAAAGUUGGGGCAAUUUAGUAUUCAACCAUGGAGAAGUUCUUU